AGAAAUCUGACUGGGAGAUAAAGUUUUGUGGCUGGAGUAGAAGAACCUCUGAAAAAGUUGUUUUCCCACCCCUAUUUGAGGGAUAAGACUCUGGGAGGAUUGAAAUGGAGAAUCAAAGCAUCAUUUUAUCUGGACUCCAAAAACAGAAAUUUGAAAAUAAAAGACCAAGAUUUUAAAAAUAGAUAAAUGAAAGGACAACGAUGUCAUUUCUAAUUCUUUAGGAUACUCUUCCACAUGUUACUCUAAGGAUUUGCAGUUGUGGCACCGAGGAAGGAACGCAGUGCAUUUCUCUUGGUACUAAAGACAUGAAAAACUUCUUACAUGAAACAGAACUCAUGGAUAUUAAGAUGACAGAGGGUGAAGUGAAGAAUGUGGGCUUUGAAGAAAGCAAGGCAAUUUUCAAACAGCUGGUCAUCCUCCCUCAAAGUUGUUCUGAAUGGAGACACUUUCAGAGGAACUGACAUAGAAAUACUGUGGAUGUGCCUCUAUCACCUUUCUUCAAGCAGAACCUAGAUGCAGCUGUUUGGAAAGGAAACUACUCUAAGAACAGUAAUACAGUGUACUCAACCUAUUUUUCAUCUGGCAGUGCUGAUUCCUACAACAGUGCACAGUGUGCAGCCAACCCCAGCCAAUGUUACUUGUCUCCAAUAAACAUCAAGCAUACCCAGAAUGAUCA
ensembl:lncRNA